CCUACGGGAGGCAGCAGUGAGGAAUAUUGGUCAAUGGGCGCGAGCCUGAACCAGCCAAGUAGCGUGAAGGAUGACUGCCCUACGGGUUGUAAACUUCUUUUAUAAAGGAAUAAAGUGAUGCACGUGUGCGUUUUUGUAUGUACUUUAUGAAUAAGGAUCGGCUAACUCCGUGCCAGCAGCCGCGGUAAUACGGAGGAUCCAAGCGUUAUCCGGAUUUAUUGGGUUUAAAGGGUGCGUAGGCGGAUUGAUAAGUUAGUGGUGAAAGUUUGGGGCUUAACUCGGGAACUGCCUCUAAUACUGUUGAUCUUGAGAAUAGAUGCGGUAGGCGGAAUGUGUGGUGUAGCGGUGAAAUGCUUAGAGAUCAUACAGAACACCGAUUGCGAAGGCAGCUUACUAAACUGUGACUGACAUUGAUGCUCGAAAGUGUGGGUAUCAAACAGGAUUAGAUACCCUUGUAGUC
rnacentral:rRNA from 1 species